UUUUUCCAAAUCCUACCGAUACGAACCUUUAACUUCCAAUUCAUUGACUUGUUGUUAAUUUUACUAACGAAAUUGAUAUCAGCCGUCAUUAUAUCCUGAAAUAGACAGAGAAAUUUGUAAAUAUAAGUAGAAACUAAACCUGCACAAAAAUAUCUGUUAAAUGAAUACAAUUCCAUCAUGGAAUAAAGAUUGUUCAUGAAAUACAAAUCAUACAAAUUACCUCUUGUAGUCUAGAGUUACUGUUUGAUAUAGACGUGAUGGAGAAAUAACAAAACUAUAUACUGUAAAAAUAGAACUGAUUUGAUAAAAAUGUGAAAUCAAUCUUGGGCAGAAGAGUUCGUGGGUAAGGAGUUGAUAUGUUGGUG
rnacentral:lncRNA from 1 species